rnacentral:rRNA from 1 species
GACGAACGCUGGCGGCGUGCUUAACACAUGCAAGUCGAACGGAAAGGCCCUGCUUGCAGGGUACUCGAGUGGCGAACGGGUGAGUAACACGUGGGUGAUCUGCCCUGCACUUCGGGAUAAGCCUGGGAAACUGGGUCUAAUACCGGAUAGGAGCCAUUUUUAGUGUGAUGGUUGGAAAGUUUUUUCGGUGUAGGAUGAGCUCGCGGCCUAUCAGCUUGUUGGUGGGGUAAUGGCCUACCAAGGCGGCGACGGGUAGCCGGCCUGAGAGGGUGGACGGCCACAUUGGGACUGAGAUACGGCCCAGACUCCUACGGGAGGCAGCAGUGGGGAAUAUUGCACAAUGGGCGCAAGCCUGAUGCAGCGACGCCGCGGGGGGGAGGACGGACUUCGGGUUGUAAACUCCUUUCGCUAGGGACGAAGCUUUUUGUGACGGUACCUAGAUAAGAAGCACCGGCUAACUACGUG